UACGUAGGGGGCAAGCGUUGUCCGGAAUCAUUGGGCGUAAAGAGCGUGUAGGCGGCCCGGUAAGUCCGCUGUGAAAGUCCAGGGCUCAACCCUGGGAUGCCGGUGGAUACUGUCGGACUAGAGUACGGAAGAGGCGAGUGGAAUUCCCGGUGUAGCGGUGAAAUGCGCAGAUAUCAGGAGGAACACCAGCGGCGAAGGCGCUGCUCUGGGCCGGUACUGACGCUGAGGAGCGAAAGCGUGGGGAGCGAACAGG
rnacentral:rRNA from 1 species